GGGUUUUCGCGUCUGAGUCGGGGCGUGCUUACAGCGAUGCGGAGCGUGGUGGUCGGACAUCUUGGUAAAGUCUAACUACGUGGGACCGAAGUUGGACAUGAAGUUGGACAGUGUCGAAGUCUUUGUCGACCUGAAGUUUCCCUAGUUAGAUAUCUGAAGAAUUCCAUCGGAUCACCAGCCGAGACCUCCUGGGGACUUUAAGUGCAUCCCUUGACAAAUAUGUGCCCCACCUGCUGAGACUUUACCGGACAAGGAAGGGAGCUUUUGGUCAGAAGAUGGAAGACCUCCUGGAAAAGCUUGAUGAACAGUCCUUAGACAUCGGACAUUGUGUCUCACCGAUAGACAGCAGCACUGAGGGGCCUACCUAUCUUUGUCCGGGACGACCCAACACAGUUCUUCCUGGAGUGUUUGGACACUGACCAUGAGAAGAGAGUGCUCAGAGGGGUGUCUGUUGCCAUCCUCACCAUCAUUGAAGAUGAUGAUGCUGCCAUAUCACCAAACGUGCGAGAUGUAGCGGUUGUGUUGGAAGGGACCAUCGUGCUUCAAGACCUACCAGACAUCUGUACUGCCUUUGCAUACCUCUUUGGCCUACUGUAUGUCAUGAACAUUGACUGUCCAAAGGAGAUGAGGUAUACCUUCGAAGGGAUUCAAACGAUCUUUUUCGAGCUUGGCUCUCGAUGCUCGCAGCGCAUACGGUCUCUGAAAACAAAGCUUUUGCUCUAAAUCUGAUGGGGAAGCCAGACAGGACAUAAUGCUUUGUUUUGUUCCUGUUUGAGUGCAUUGUUUGUUCUCAUGUGUAACCUUUUAAGUCACCUUUGCCUCAGAUUCACAGAAUUUGAAGAAAUGUCAGUUGCCAGUUCACAAUAGGGACACAUCGUGCGUGCGUGCGUGCGUGCGCGCGCGUGUCCAUUGUUUACUGAAGGCCAGACAGACCUCAUUGAGUACUUUUAACUCAUGUUCAAAAGGAGAAAUAAACAAGGUUUUAGCUAACUUUGAGCUGUGUGCCUUUUUUAUUUAAUAAUGUAUUUAUUGAGAAUUCCUUUAAUACAAUUACAGCAACUUACAUUUUCAUUGAGUUAUCUAGGAAAAUUUCUAUCUCACUGAAGCAAGAAUUAUGUAUGUUGAAGGCAGAAAUACAUAGCAUUGAAACAAUGAUUUUAUUGUUAGCCUCACAGAAAUAUCAUAAUUCUGUGAACAAGAAAAUUAAGUUGGCAGAACUCGAAAUACAAUUAUAUAGCAACAUCAAUUUGUAUUGAUUUUUAACGUAAUUUUUUUGUCUCACUGAAACAAGAAUUGUAUAUUUAUUCAACACAAAUAUCUGUGUUUGUCAAAGGUAGAAAUACAUGGCACUGAAACAAGAAUUUCAUCGUUGGCCUCACAGGAAUUUCAUAAUUUGGUGAACAAGAAAAUUGAAGUUGGCAGAACUUUUGUCCAAACUUGUAAAUCUUAGUUAAGUCAACUACUGUAGUCAAAAGUUGAGAACUUGAAAAUCGAUUGCAUCAAGUUGACUUGAUAUUUUAAGUUUUCUCAAGGUUUUUUUUUUUUUUUUUUUUUACAGUGCAGAACCACUGCUGGAGAAUAACUCCUAUCCAAUAUACCCAAUUCCCUAGCCUUCUCCUUAGCAACCCAACCAAAGCUCUUUGUUAGCGUUUUUCCAUGUUCCCAGCAUGGCUCAAUUGCACUUACUGUUGGAUGGUUAUGUCCUUGUAAACUAGCCCAAUAUGUCAUUAUCUGUAAUCUCAACUCCAAUGGCAUUUCCCCCAUUUCUACCUGCAAUGCUGGCACAGAUGUUCUUUUAAAAGCCCCACUACAUAUUCUUAAUGCUUGUGCUU